UGAGGCAGGAGAAUUGCUUGAACCCAGGAGGGGGAGGUUGCAGUGAGCCGAGAUCGUGCCACUGCACUCCAGCCUGGGUGACAGAGCAAGAUUCCA
rnacentral:miRNA from 1 species